CCUACGGGUGGCAGCAGUGGGGAAUAUUGGGCAAUGGGCGCAAGCCUGACCCAGCAACGCCGCGUGAAGGAAGAAGGCUUUCGGGUUGUAAACUUCUUUUAAGGGCGAGGAGCAGAAGACGGUACCCCUUGAAUAAGCCACGGCUAACUACGUGCCAGCAGCCGCGGUAAUACGUAGGUGGCAAGCGUUGUCCGGCUUUACUGGGUGUAAAGGGCGUGCAGCCGGAGAGACAAGUCAGAUGUGAAAGCCACGGGCUCAACCCGUGAACUGCAUUUGAAACUGUUUCCCUUGAGUGUCGGAGAGGUAAGCAGAAUUCCUUGUGUAGCGGUGAAAUGCGUAGAUAUAAGGAAGAACACCAGGGGCGAAGGCGGAUUACUGGACGAUAACUGACGGUGAGGCGCGAAAGCGUGGGGAGCAAACAGGAUUAGAUACCCCAGUAGUC
rnacentral:rRNA from 1 species